rnacentral:lncRNA from 1 species
UUCGUCCGCCGGACUCGGAAUGGGGCGAGACUUUGCGAGGGGCCUCGGGGCGCCACAAAUAAGCCGCGGACAAAGCCGCGCCCAAAAACAAGUGCCCGAAGGUCGUGGUGCCAAAACCCACCAGCGGAAAAAUGGCCAAAAAACGGGUGGGCUAUAGCCUUGGUGGGGGGGGCGGGCGAAGUUCGUCCGCCGGAGUCGGAAUGGGGCGAGACUUUGCGAGGGGCCUCGGGGUGCCCGCGGGAAGUCGCGGGCACAACCGCGCCCAAAAAUAAGCACCCGAAGGUCAUGGUGCCAAAACCCCCCAGCGGAAAAAUGGCCAAAAAACGGGUGGGCUAUAGCCUUGGUGGGGAGCGCGGGCAAAGUUCGUCCGCCGGACUCGGAAUGGGGCGAGUCUUUGCGAGGGGCCUCAGGGUGCCCGCGGGAAGUCGCGGGCACAGCCGCGCCCAAAAAUAAGCGCCCGAAGGUCAUGGUGCCAAAACCCCCCAGCGGAAAAAUGGCCAAAAACGGGUGGGCUAUAGCCUUGGUGGGGGGCGCGGGCGAAGCUCGUCCGCCGGACUCGGAAUGGGGCGAGACUCUGCGAGGGGCCUCGGGGCGCCAAAAAUAAGCCGCGGGCAAAGCCACGCCCAAAAAUAAGUGCCCGAAGGUCGUGGUGCCAAAACCCCCCAGCGGAAAAAAGGCCAAAAAACGGGUGGGCUAUAGCCUUGGUGGGGGGCGCGGGCGAAGUUCGUCCGCCGGACUCGGAAUGGGGCGAGACUUUGCGAGGGGUCUCGGGGUGUCAAAAUAAGCCGCGGGCAAGCCGCGCCCAAAAUAAUCGCCCCGAAGGUCGUGGUGCAAAAACCCCCCAGCGGAAAAAUGGCCAAAAAAACGGGUGGGCUAUAGCCUUGGUGGGGGGCGCGGGCGAAGUUCGUCCGCCGGGCUCGGAAUGGGGCGAGACUUUGCGAGGGGCCUCGAGGCGCCAAAAUUAAACCGCGUGCAAAGCCGCAUCCAAAAACAAGCACCCGAAGGUGGUGGUGCCAGAACCCCCCAGCGGAAAAAUGGCCAAAAAACGGGUGGGCUAUAGCCUUGGUGGGGGGCGCGGGCGAAGUUCGUCCGCCGGACUCGGAAUGGGGCGAGACUUUCCGAGGGGCCUCGGGGUGCCAAAAAUAAGCCGCGGGCAAAGCCGCGCCCAAAAAUAAGCGCCCGAAGCUCGUGGUGCCAAAACCCCCCAGCGGAAAAAUGGCCAGAAAACGGGUGGGCUAUUGCCUUGGUGGGGGGCGCGGGCGAAGUUCGUCCGCCGGACUCGGAAUGGGGCGAGACUUCGCGAGGGGCCUCGGGGCGCCACAAAUAAGCCGCGGGCAAAGCCACGCCCAAAAAUAAGUGCCCGAAAGUCGUGGUGCCAAAACCCCCGAGCGGAAAAAAGGGCAAAAAACGGGUGGGCUAUAGCCUUGGUGGGGGGCGCGGGCGAAGUUCGUCCGCCGGACUCGGAAUGGGGCGAGACUUUGCGAGGGGUCUCAGGGUGCCAAAAAUAAGCCGCGGGCAAAGCCGCGCCCGAAGGUCGUGGUGCAAAAACCCCCCAGCGGAAAAAUGGCCAAAAAACGGGUGGGCUAUAGCCUUGGUGGGGGGCGCGGGCGAAGUUCUUCCGCCGGGCUCGGAAUGGGGCGAGACUUUGCGAGGGGCCUCGGAACGCCAAAAAUAAACCGCGUGCAAAGCCGCGCCCAAAAAUAAGCGCCCGAAGGUGGUGGUGCCAGAACCCCCCAGCGGAAAAAUGGCCAAAAAACGGGUGGGCUAUAGCCUUGGUGGGGGGCGCGGGCGAAGUUCGUCCGCCGGACUCGGAAUGGGGCGAGACUUUGCGAGGGGCCUCGGGGUGCCAAAAAUAAGCCGCGGGCAAAGCCGCACCCAAAAAUAAGCGCCCGAAGGUCGUGGUGCCAAAACCCCCCAGCGGAAAAAUGGCCAGAAAACGGGUGGGCUAUAGCCUUGGUGGGGGGCGCGGGCGAAGUUCGUCCGCCGGACUCGGAAUGGGGCGAGACUUUGCGAGGGGCCUCGGGGCGCCAAAAAUAAGCCGCGGGCAAAGCCGCGCCCAAAAAUAAUCGCCCGAAGGUCAUGGUGCCAAAACCCCCCAGCGGAAAAAUGGCCAAAAAACGGGUGGGCUAUAGCCUUGGUGGGGGGCGCGGGCGAAGUUCGUCCGCCGGACUCGGAAUGGGGCGAGACUUUGCGAGGGGCCUCGGGGUGCCAAAAAUAAGCCGCGGGCAGAGCCGCGCCCAAAAAUAAGCGCCCGAAGGUCGUGGUGCCAAAACCCCCCAGGGGAAAAUUGGCCAAAAAACGAGUGGGCUAUAGCCUUGGUGGGGGGCGCGGGCGAAGUUCGUCCGCCGGACUCGGAAUGGGGCGAGACUUUGCGAGGAGCCUCGGGGUGCCCGCGGGAAGUCGCGGGCACAGCCGCGUCCAAAAAUAAGCGCCCGAAGGUCGUGGUGCCAAAACCCCCCAGCGGAAAAAUGGCCAAAAAACGGGUGGGCUAUAGCCUUGGUGGGGGGCGCGGGCGAAGUUCGUCCGCCGGACUCGGAAUGGGGCGAGACUUUGCGAGGGGCCUCGAGGUGCCCGCGGGAAGUCGCGGGCACAGCCGCGUCCAGAAAUAAGCACCCGAAGGUCGUGGUGCCAAAACCCCCCAGCGGAAAAAUAGCCAAAAAACGGGUGGGCUAUAGCCUUGGUGGGGGGCGCGGGCGAAGUUCGUCCGCCGGACUCGGAAUGGGGCGAGACUUUGCGCGGGGCCUCGGGGCGCCAAAAAUAAGCCGCGGGCAAAGUCGCGCCCAAAAAUAAGCGCCCGAAGGUCGUGGUGCCAAAACCCCCCAGCGGAAAAAUGGCCAAAAAACGGGUGGGCUAUAGCCUUCGUGGGGGGCGCGGGCGAAGUUCGUCCGCCGGACUCGGAAUGGGGCGAGACUUUGCGCGGGGCCUCGGGGCACCAAAAAUAAGCCGCGGGCAAAGCCGCGCCCAAAAAUAAGCGACCGAAGGUCGUGGUGCCAAAACCCCCCAGCGGAAAAAUGGCCAAAAAACGGGUGGGCUAUAGCCUUGGUGGGGAGCGCGGGCGAAGUUCGUCCGCCGGACUCGGAAUGGGGCGAGACUUUGCGAGGGGCCUCGGGGUGCCAAAAAUAAGCCGCGGGCAAAGCCGCGCCCAAAAAUAAGCGCCCGAAGGUCUUGGUGCCAAAACACCCCAGCGGAAAAAUGGCCAAAAAACGGGUGGGCUAUAGCCUUGGUGGGGGGCGCGGGCGAAGUUCGUCCGCCGGACUCGGAAUGGGGCGAGACUUUGCGAGGGGCCUCGGGGUGCCCGCGGGAAGUUGCGGGCACAGCCGCGUCCAAAAAUAAGCGCCCGAAGGUCGUGGUGCCAAAACCCCCCAGCGGAAAAAUGGCCAAAAAACGGGUGGGCUAUAGCCUUGGUGGGGGGCGCGGGCGAAGUUCGUCCGCCGGACUCGGAAUGGGGCGAGACUUUCCGAGGGCCCUCGAGGUGCCCGCGGGAAGUCGCAGGCACAGCCGCGUCCAGAAAUAAGCACCCGAAGGUCGUGGUGCCAAAAUCCCCCAGCGGAAAAAUAGCCAAAAAACGGGUGGGCUAUAGCCUUGGUGGGGGGCGCGGGCGAAGUUCGUCCGCCGGACUCGGAAUGGGGCGAGACUUUGCGCGGGGCCUCGGGGCGCCAAAAAUACGCCGCGGGCAAAGUCGCGCCCAAAAAUAAGCGCCCGAAGGUCGUGGUGCCAAAACCCCCCAGCGGAAAAAUGGCCAAAAAACGGGUGGGCUAUAGCCUUCGUGGGGGGCGCGGGCGAAGUUCGUCCGCCGGACUCGGAAUGGGGCGAGACUUUGCGCGGGGCCUCGGGGCACCAAAAAUAAGCCGCGGGCAAAGCCGCGCCCAAAAAUAAGCGCCCGAAGGUCGUGGUGCCAAAACCCCCCAGCGGAAAAAUGGCCAAAAAACUGGUGGGCUAUAGCCUUGGUGGGGAGCGCGGGCGAAGUUCGUCCGCCGGACUCGGAAUGGGGCGAGACUUUGCGAGGGGCCUCGGGGUGCCAAAAAUAAGCCGCGGGCAAAGUCGCGCCCAAAAAUAAGCGCCCGAAGGUCUUGGUGCCAAAACCCCCCAGCGGAAAAAUGGCCAAAAAACGGGUGGGCUAUAGCCUUGGUGGGGGGCGCGGGCGAAGUUCGUCCGCCGGACUCGGAAUGGGGCGAGACUUUGCGAGGGGCCUCGAGGUGCCCGCGGGAAGUCGCGGGCACAGCCGCGUCCAGAAAUAAGCACCCGAAGGUUGUGGUGCCAAAACCCCCCAGCGGAAAAAUAGCCAAAAAACUGGUGGGCUAUAGCCUUGGUGGGGGGCGCGGGCGAAGUUUUUUCCCCGGACUCGAAUGGGGCGAGACUUUGCGAGGGCUUCGGGUGCCAAAAAUAAGCCGCGGGCAAAGUCGCGCCCAAAAUAAGCGCCGAAGGUCGUGGUGCCAAAACCCCCCAGCGGAAAAAUGGCCAAAAAACGGGUGGGCUAUAGCUUUGGUGGGGAGCGCGGGCGAAGUUCGUCCGCCGGACUCGGAAUGGGGCGAGACUUUGCGAGGGGCCUCGGGGUGCCAAAAAUAAGCCGCGGGCAAAGCCGCGCCCAAAAAUAAGCGCCCGAAGGUCUUGGUGCCAAAACCCCCCAGCGGAAAAAUGGCCAAAAAACGGGUGGGCUAUAGCCUUGGUGGGGGGCGCGGGCGAAGUUCGUCCGCCGGACUCGGAAUGGGGCGAGACUUUGCGAGGGGCCUCGGGGUGCCCGCGGGAAGUCGCGGGCACAGCCGCGUCCAAAAAUAAGCGCCCGAAGGUCGUGGUGCCAAAACCCCGCAGCGGAAAAAUGGCCAAAAAACGGGUGGGCUAUAGCCUUGGUGGGGGGCGCGGGCGAAGUUCGUCCGCCGGACUCGGAAUGGGGCGAGACUUUGCGAGGGGCCUCGGGGUGCCCGCGGGAAGUCGCGGGCACAGCCGCGUCCAAAAAUAAGCGCCCGAAGGUCGUGGUGCCAAAACCCCCCAGCGGAAAAAUGGCCAAAAAACGGGUGGGCUAUAGCCUUGGUGGGGGGCGCGGGCGAAGUUCGUCCGCCGGACUCGGAAUGGGGCGAGACUUUGCGAGGGGCCUCGAGGUGCCCGCGGGAAGUCGCGGGCACAGCCGCGUCCAGAAAUAAGCACCCGAAGGUCGUGGUGCCAAAACCCCCCAGCUGAAAAAUGGCCAAAAAACGGGUGGGCUAUAGCCUUGGUGGGGGGCGCAGGCGAAGUUCGUCCGCCGGACUCGGAAUGGGGCGAGACUUUGCGAGGGCCCUCGGGGUGCCAAAAAUAAGCCGCGGGGAAAGCCGCGCCCAAUGGUCGUGGUGCCAAAACCCCCCAGCGGAAAAAUGGCCAAAAAACGGGUGGGCUAUAGCCUUGGUGGGGGGCGCGGGCGAAGUUCGUCCGCCGGACUCGGAAUGGGGAGAGACUUUGCGAGGGGCCUCGGGGUGCCAGCGGGAAGUCGCGGGCACAGCCGCGUCCAAAAAUAAGCGCCCGAAGGUUGUGGUGACAAAACCCCCCAGCGGAAAAAUGGCCAAAAAACGGGUGGGCUAUAGCCUUGGUGGGGGGCGCGGGCGAAGUUCGUCCGCCGGACUCGAAUGGGGCGAGACUUUGCGAGGGGCCUCGGGGCGCCAAAAAUAAGCCGCGGGCAAAGCCGCGCCCAAAAAUAAUCGCCCGAAGGUCAUGGUGCCAAAACCCCCCAGCGGAAAAAUGGCCAAAAAACGGGUGGGCUAUAGCCUUGGUGGGGGGCGCGGGCGAACUUCGUCCGCCGGACUCGGAAUGGGGCGAGACUUUGCGAGGGGCCUCGGGGCGCCAAAAAUAAGCCGCGGGCAAAGCCGCGCCCAAAAAUAAGUGCCCGAAGGUCGUGGUGCCAAAACCCCCCAGCGGAAAAAAGGCCAAAAAACGGGUGGGCUAUAGCCUUGGUGGGGGGCGCGGGCGAAGUUCGUCCGCCGGACUCGGAAUGGGGCGAGACUUUACGAGGGGUCUCGGGGUGCCAAAAAUAAGCCUCGGGCAAAGCCGCGCCCAAAAAUAAGCGCCCGAAGGUCGUGGUGCAAAAACCCCCCAGCGGAAAAAUGGCCAAAAAACGGGUGGGCUAUAGCCUUGGUGGGGGGCGCGGGCGAAGUUCGUCCGCCGGGCUCGGAAUGGGGCGAGACUUUGCGAGGGGCCUCGGGGCGCCAAAAAUAAACCACGUGCAAAGCCGCACCCAUAAAUAAGCGCCCGAAGGUGGUGGUGCCAGAACCCCCCAGCGGAAAAAUGGCCAAAAAACGGGUGGGCUAUAGCCUUGGUGGGGGGCGCGGGCGAAGUUUGUCCGCCGGACUCGGAAUGGGGCGAGACUUUGCGAGGGGCCUCGGGGCGCCAAAAAUAAGCCACGGGCAAAGCCGCGCCCAAAAAUAAGCGCCCGAAGGUCAUGGUGCCAAAACCCCCCAGCGGAAAAAUGGCCAAAAAACGGGUGGGCUAUAGCCUUGGUGGGGGGCGCGGGCGAAGUUCGUCCGCCGGACUCGGAAUGGGGCGAGACUUUGCGAGGGGCCUCGGGGCGCCAAAAAUAAGCCGCGGGUAAAGCCGCGCCCAAAAAUAAGCACCCGAAGGUCGUGGUGCAAAAACCCCCCAGCGGAAAAAUGGCCAAAAAACGGGUGGGCUAUAGCCUUGGUGGGGGGCGCGGGCGAAGUUCAUCCGCCGGACUCGGAAUGGGGCGAGACUUUGCGAGGGGCCUCGGGGCGCCAAAAAUAAGCCGCGGGCAAAGCCGCGCCCAAAAAAAAGCGCCCGAAGGUCGUGGUGCAAAAACCCCCCAGCGGAAAAAUGGCCAAAAAACGGGUGGGCUAUAGCCUUGGUGGUGGGCGCGGGCGAAGUUCGUCCGCCGGAAUCGGAAUGGGGCGAGACUUUGCGAGGGGCCUCGGGGCGCCAAAAAUAAGCAGCGGGAAAAGCCGCGCCCAAAAAUAAGCGCCCGCAUGUCNNN